GGUAAAGUGGCUGAGUAAAGCAAUAGACUGUAAAUCUAAGAACAGAGGUUUGAUUCCUCUUUUUACCA
rnacentral:tRNA from 1 species